rnacentral:rRNA from 1 species
UACAGAGGGUGCGAGCGUUGUCCGGAAUCACUGGGCGUAAAGCGUCCGCAGGUGGCAGUUCAAGUCUGCUGUCAAAGACCGGGGCUUAACUUCGGAAAGGCAGUGGAAACUGAACAGCUAGAGUAUGGUAGGGGCAGAGGGAAUUCCUGGUGUAGCGGUGAAAUGCGUAGAGAUCAGGAAGAACAUCGGUGGCGAAGGCGCUCUGCUGGACCAUAACUGACACUCAGGGACGAAAGCUAGGGGAGCGAAUGGG